rnacentral:lncRNA from 1 species
GAAACCGAUCAGUAUAGUGCAAUCCUCACAAACAAGUCAUUUUUUUAUAAAAAUUGCUACUCCCCUCUCCUGUGUCAGACCUUCCCGGGCUCCACACCCUUUUUCUCUUGAAAUUACUGUUAUGCCCCCACCCCUCAAAUAUCUCACUCUCUCUCUUUCGUUUUUUUUAGUUUUUUUUAAUAAGUUUGUUUUUCUUAAUUAAUUUUUUUAUCAAUCUUUUAUUUUUUUAUCUGUUUUAUUUUUAUUUGUAAUUAAAUAAAUUAUUUUUUAUUAUAUGUUUGUAUUUUUAGUUGUAGAUGUGGGAGUCAUUAUUUGUAAAAAUUACAAAAAACGAAUAAAAAAAUUAUUUCUUUAAGUUGUUAUUGUUUGAGUUGAUUUUUAUUUUUUUAUUAGUUUUAUUUUUUAUUGUUUUUUUUUAAUUUUUAGUAGUUUUUAUUUAUUUUAUUUUUAUUUGUUUAGUGUUUGUAUUAAUGUUAAUUAAAAAAGGCACAUUCAAUGCCCCAACACUUGACAAUGUUUUUUUUUAUUAGUUUGAAAAUAACUAUUUUUUAAUUAGUUUUUUAAAUUUUAUAAAUAAUAAACUCUAACAUCUUACAACUAAAAAAUAAACAAAAGAUUUAUAACAUAUAAAAAAAACAAAAAAAUAUUUAUAUAAGAAAAAAAAAAUUAAUAAAGAAAAGAAAAAAACUGAUAAAAAAAAUUAGAAAAGGGAGGGAGACAAAAGAAAGGAAAGAAAAAAGGGAAGGACGGACACAAGGGUAAAUUUGGGGGUGGGGCCAGGGGAGGCCAUGGGGAGGGUCUGACACGAGAGGGGGAAAAGCAAUUCUCUUUUUUUAUGCACACAAAGAUCUGAUUGGAUAGUUGGUUUUUAAUUUUAGGUUACAAUUGCAAAGGAAAAGAAAACGUUUAUAGAUUUAACCAUUUACAUUUAACUUUUUUCUCCACAAAUUCCUCUCUAAAUCUAUAAUUAAAAUACAACUAUUUUUUUUUUAUGCGAAUAGGUUAUAGGAAUAUGACCAUCUUAUGAAGUGUUCGGACUAAACUGCAAACCAUUUACGUUUCCAUCCAAAUUAACAGAAUGCGCAAUAAAACACAAUUUGAGAGUCGAAGAGAAAAAGGUCUGAAUCAAAGUCAAACACCAAAACCAUAAAAUCCCCCAAUAAUUACCCUUUCGUUAUCUUCCUCUUCCUCCAACCAACUAAAAUGACCUCAAUCUUAUAACUCAUCCCCCCACCACCUACGUCAGAAUGUACAACAACCAAUCGCCAACAUAGCCACUUCCAAACUUCAACUUCAUCACUGGCGUAUCAUAAUACACUACAACAAAAGGUCCAUUACCAACAAAAUGAUUUUCUCUCCUCUCCAAACGACCUUAUUCAGUGUUAACAACUUGCCCGACAAACAAUAUGUCGUCACCUGAUCGUAAGCGACAAACUUAUGUCGUUGAAAGUGUCCUCUGACAAAAAUUUUAUUUCGCCGUUUAAUAAAACUUUCUAGCAAUAAAGAUCAUGUCCUUGUCGAAUAUAAUAGUUUAGCGGUAAAAUAUUUCAUAACCCACAUAAUAUAAUUUCCUCGCCUUAGGUCACGUUUCGUCACUAAAUAAUUUAAAAUUUUAUUAAUUAUUUUUUUUGUAAAAUAAUAGGUGACAAAAAUUUCGUCACUAAAGGCAGUUUGCAGAAGCAAAAGACGACGAAAUAUUUCCUCGCUAAAGAUCUUCUCACGCCAUAAAUGCCUAGAAUUCGCCAUGGGCCUUACUCUCGUGAUCUGAUUAGUUCAGCUUUUAAGCUCCUAUGCAUAGAUAGACUUGGGGAAAAGAUCAAAUUGAUUUCGUAACCAUAGCCACGUAUUUUUGUGAAAUACUAUUUAGAAAAAUGAAUGAUAAGUGUAAGUUUGAAUGUUGACCGUCCUAUUUUUUUAGACAAUUCUAAUGAAAUUAUAUGGCUAUAAUUAUUAAGUCAACUUAAUUUUUGCUUUUUUGUAUGGAUGAUCUAUGUUCAUAGAUUUAAAAAAUGAACUCAUUAUAUUAUUGAAGAUGGACUCUGGUGAGUCCCAUGAAACCGAAACAUGUGGUAUGAUGCAAUCCACAUACAAGUCAUUUAUUUUCCGUUUAUAUUUAUAUUAAUUUUUAAAUUUUUGGGUGUAUUUUUUAAUUUAGGGAUGGGCAUUCUAGGAGUCGAGCUCGCACUACAUACUUAGAGGCUUUUGGUCUGCCCAAGUCAGGACUAGCUGGAUAUGGCCAAAUAUAGAAUUGCCAACUCUAGUCCUAAAAACUUUUAUAUUCCCAAGCCCACCCAUUAAAUUCACUUGUUCAAACUCUUAAAUGUUAAAUAUAUUUAACCAUUUAUAUUAUAUUAAUUCUAAUUUUCUUUUUAAACUUAAGUAUAUCUUCGUAUUUUGUACUACUUUUAGGAAAACCUAAAGAACCAAAUGCUUCAUUGAAAUUUUGCUAUUAUCUCUGUACAAACCACAUAAUUCCCCUUUCACUUAAUAAAAGUAUGGUUUUAAUUAAAAUAAAAUUAUUUUUUAUAUUUAAAAUAAAUUCCCCUUUCAUAACACGAUUUUACAAUUAGUAUAUUUUUUAUAUGAAAUGAUAUGAUAAAUUUGUACCUAAUUAUUUUAAAUUAAAAAAUCCUUUAAAGAGAGUAUUAUUUUAAUUUCUGAUAUGAGGCAAUCAUAGAAAAUAUGAAGAAAAAAAAAAAGUGUGUUAAACAAACACCCAUAUCAUUGUAAAACAAACAAGUACAUAUGAGAUCGCCAAGAUAGUAUCCGACUUAGUCCGAUUGGAUUUGUUUAUCCAACUGAAAUCCGACUGGAUUUCUAAUCCGUCAAAUUCAAUCUCCAAAACAAACAUGUCCCUCGUUGAAUUCGCACUACAUACUUAGAGGCUUUUGGUCUGCCCAAGUCAGGACUAGCUGGAUAUGGCCAAAUAUAGAAUUGCCAACUCUAGUCCUAAAAACUUUUAUAUUCCAAGCACACCCAUUAAAUUCACUUAUUCAAACUUUUAAAUGUUAAAUAUAUUUAACCAUUUACAUUAUAUUAAUUCUAAUUUUCUCUUUAAACUUGAGUAUAUCUUCGUAUUUUGUACUACUUUUAGGAAAACCUAAAGAACCAAAUGCUUCAUUGAAAUUUUGCUAUUAUCUUGUUACAAAACACAUAAUUCCCCUUACUUAAAUAAAACGUGUAUGGUUUUUAAUUAAAUAAAAAUUAUUUUUUAUAUUUAAAAUAAAUUCCCUUUAUCAACACGGAUUUUACAAUUAGUAUAUUUUGUAUAUGAAAUGAUAGAUAAUGGUUACCUAUUAUUUUAAAUUAAAAAAUCUUAAAGAGAGUAUUAUUUUAAAAAUGAUGAUAUGAGGGCAAUCAUAGAAAAUAUUGAAGAAACAAAAAGUGUUUACACCCAACACCCAUAUCCAUGUAAAACAAACAAGUACAUAUGUGAGAUUUACAAGAUAGUACAUCCGACUAUAGUCCGUUGUAUUCGGUUAUCCAACCUUAAUCCGACUUGGAUUUCUAAUCAGUCAAAUCAAUCUCCAAAACAAACAUGUCCCUGUUGAAUUCGCCACACUACCAUACUUAGAGGAUUUUGGUUCUGCCCAAGUCAGGACUAGCUGGAUAUGGCCAAAAUAUAGAAUUUGCCAAACUCUAGUCCUAAAAACUUUUAAUUCCAAGCACACCAUUAAAUUCACUUAUUCAACUUUUAAAUGUUAAUAUAUUUAACCAUUUACAUUAUAUUAAUUCUAAUUUCUCUUUAAACUUGAGUAUAGCUUCGUAAAUUUGUACUACUUUUAGGAAAACCUAAGAACCAAAUGCUUGAUUAAAUUUUUGCUUAUCUCUGUACAAACCACAUGAAUUCCACCAUUUAUCCCUAGUCUUUGAUCAGUAUCUUCUAAGUUAUUCCAAAUUCAUUGGUUCCAAUUCCUAAUUUUUAAUGGGCUAUGGGCCCAUAGCCCCUGCAUGUCUUCACUCUAGUAUUAUCCCACAUGCAGCCUGAUGAUCCCAAUGUCCACUUUCCUUUCUUUUCUUUUUUCUGCUAAUUUUUUUAGGAUUGUGAUGUGCAAAAAAUGUUGUUUGAAAAAACACAAAAGAGGGGGGGGGGGGGGGGGGGGGGAAGAAAAUUGCAUGGAUGUCAAGUAUACCGCAUUAUUUGAAUGUAAAUUACGCAUUAUUUGAAUGUAAUUGUCAAUUCUAAAAGUUAAUUUACUGUCAUGUAUGCAUAUAUAGUGAAAAUUCAUUAUAAAUAUAUUGGAGUAUUCGAUAGUAAUAUCACAUCUCACUAAUAACAUAGAUGCGUAGAAUUUAUCACGGGUCUCACUCUCGUAAUCCGAUUAGUUUAAGCUUUUUUUAAGCUCGUAUGAUUAGAUAGACUAACGGAAAAAAAAAAUCAGAUUGGUUCGUAAACCAUGACCACAUUGUUUUUAAUGAAAUAGAUGAUUGUGAAAAGUAUAAGUUUGAAGUUGAACGUCUUAUUUUUUUUAGACAAAUCUACUAAUAAAAUUACAUGGCUAUAAUUAUUAAGUCAACUUAAUUUUUUGUAUGGUUAAUCUACGUUUUUGUAUAGUAGAUUAAAAAAUGUAAACGAUGUAAAUCAUUGAGCUGGAUUUUGGUGAGUCCAACGAUUUGGUAUGGUUGCAAAAGCUAUAGGACAAGUAUUUCUUUCUGUUUUAUUUCGAUUUUUUUUAUUUUAGGCUGUAGUUUUGAAUUUAGGGAUGGACAUUCAACUAGUCGAACUCGCACUACAUAUUUAAAGGGUUUUGGUCUGCCCAAGUCAAAACCAACUCAAUGCGGGCCUAAUAUAAAAUUCCCAAUUCUAGUCAUAAAACCUUUGAAAUUCCUAAGGACCAUUAAUCCCAUUUGUUCAUACUCUUAAAUAUUAAAUACAUUUAUUAUUUAAACAUUUACAUUGUAGUAAUUCUAAUUUUAGGAAAACCUAAAGAACCAAAUGCUUCAGUAAAGUUUUUCUAUUCUCUCUGUACAAACCACAUAAUUCCAACAUUACCCUCAUCUUCUGAUACAGUUUCUUAGGGAGCUAUUAUUCACACCCAUCUUUAAGUCAAAUCACCAAACCAUCACCAGACUCGUUGACUAAAAUUAUUCUUUUGCCCCUGCCUUUUCUCCCUUUUUUCCCGUGUCCCCACUCCCUUUUCCCCCAGCCGGGCCUCCCCCAGCCUUCCCUUUUUCGCUGCAAAGCCCCAGCUGGGCCCUCACCCCAGCCCCACACUUGUCAGCCCACCCUCCCUUUCAGCCGACUGUCUUCCCCACCCCCACCCCUCUAAUGUUAAACCACCCUUUUCAGCCCAGGCCCCCCCACCCCUUUUAUCAAAAAAAAUUUUAAUUUUUAAUUUGUUUUUGGAUUUUUUUGUUCCCAUAUAUAGAAUAAACACUUCUCUAUAUUUUUCAUCUUAUCAUUACCUACCACACUCCAUCUAACUAUUCACUCAAUUUCUAUCAAGAUUUUGUUAAAAUUUUUUUUCAAAAUUCAUAAUUAGAGCACUAUGGAUAUAGGUGUCAAAGUGGGCCUUGCCGGCACGGCAGACACGGGCAUGGCCACGAAAAAACUCGACACGGGCACGAUUUUGGCAUGGUAUAAGUUAGGCCGGGCACGCCAUCGGACGGUAUGGGCGGGCAAGGGUACGAAAUGGUGGGAGCACGGCACGGGGCCACGGUACGAUAGUUGGACUUAACAUAGCACGGCACGAUCAAAGCUCGGCACGGCACAGGCCAACGACACCACUAGUGGGCUGGUUUGGCACGGCACAGACUUAGUCAAGCACGGCCCUAUGGGCAGGAAAAGAAUGGUGUGAAGGCACGACGACACGGACAGAGAGUGGCAAGGAAUAAGGAAUUGAUUAAUUAUUAAAUAAAUAAAAUAAAUUUUAUUAAAUUAAAUUAAUUUUCAUAAUAAAAAAAAUUAUUAAAAGAAAAAAAGUAAACUAAAUAAAUUUUGACUCUUGUUCUCAUGGGUUAUGGCCAUAUAAAUAAAUAAAUAAUAAAAAAUAUAUUUUUAUUAAAUUAAAUUGACUUUCAAUGCCAUAAUAAAAAAAAAUUGAAAAAUUUUUUAAAAUAAAAUUAUGAAUAACAAAAAUAAAAAAAAAUUGACAAAAACAUUAAAAAUUAAAUUUGAACAACAAAAAGUAGAAAUUUUAAAAUUUGACUUAUGCCGUCAAACAAUACACGUUUCUUUCAUAUUUAUGACAAUUCACACCGUUCAUUUUGUUAUAGUGAUAUUUUAAUCACUCUGCCGAAUUUGAAGUCUAUUGGAUAUUGGAAAACUCUUUCAUUCGGGACAGUAAUUUAUUUAUUAUAUCAACCAAUAAUUUUUCUCAUUCGCUCCAGUACGUGCCGAUAAUUAAACUAUUUUAUGGUUUGCAUUGACGAUAUAAUCACUUCUACUUAUAAUUCUAACCGUUCCUAUUCAAAAAAAACUAUUGUGAUGCCAUCAAGUCAUGCAUUAUUAGACAUGAGCUCAUAGAUGGCACCGCAUGUGACCUGAUCAGGUGGUUGAAGACAUUUUGAUCCCACCGUUUUGAAACAAAUUAUAGAAUUGAUAAGAUAUAAAUCGUACUAUUUAAAUCAACAUUCAGGAAAUCGAGUCUGGCACGUGUCUUUCAAUCCUAUACAGCAAAUUACUUGGUUCUGACUAACUUAUUGUGUUUUAGGAUAAUGUACUCUCUCGCCAAAUUUCAAAUUUUCUAUCGGGUAUGAAAAUCCUUUAUCGAAAAGUAGAUUCACUAAAAAUUAAAAAUUAACAUAGAUACACCUUCAACUAUCACUUUAUCACUUCAUUGAUUUUUAGCUUCAAUUAUAGCUUCAAAAUCACACCAAAAAGAAGAUACUAAGCUGUCCGUUUGGUAAUGCUUACAAACAAGCUUUUUUUAAGCUUGCUACUAACAAGGCCAGAAUUUUUGAUUUUUUUGCUUUUGUGGCUUACUUUAGCUAAACUAAGUAAAAAGUCAAAAUCAAAAAAGCAAAAAAGCCACUCUGAUGAUUUUUUUGCUUAUUUUAAGCCAAAGCCAGAACAACAAGCUGGUGCCAACGGAGCCUAAAUCCCUUUCAAUUAGUUUUUUUGUGGCAACGGCUGCUAACCCAUAAGCCUUACCCACUGCUUACAUUUCCCAAAUUAUAAUUUUCCAUGAAAAAGUCCGUUUUUGUAUUAACAUAUUUAUAAAUUUGAGGCAUUUCUUAUGUGUUAUUGUUUGCACAAACUACUGUAAUUGGGCUUUUAAUUAAAAAACAUACACGACACACUUAAUACGGGUAGGGCACGACACGAUUAAGUGAUGGCAUGACCCGACACGCGUCACACAACUAAGUAGCGGGCCGACACGGCAUUGCAUCGAUUAGUAAGGCUGGCCGGCACGGCACGGCACGACACGACACUAUUUAAGUAAGCGGGCUGGCACGGCAUGACUGAUUAAGUAGACGGGCACUACACGGCACACAUGAGUCAUACGACUAAGUUAGCGUGCCGGCGCAGUACGGCACGUUAAGUAAGCGGCCUGCACG